UACGGAGGAUGCGAGCGUUAUCCGGAUUUAUUGGGUUUAAAGGGUGCGUAGGCGGACGCUUAAGUCAGCGGUAAAAUUGCGGGGCUCAACCUCGUCGAGCCGUUGAAACUGGGUGUCUUGAGUGGGCGAGAAGUACGCGGAAUGCGUGGUGUAGCGGCGAAAUGCAUAGAUAUCACGCAGAACUCCGAUUGCGAAGGCAGCGUACCGGCGCCCAACUGACGCUGAAGCACGAAGGCGUGGGUAUCGAACAGG
rnacentral:rRNA from 1 species